CCCCCCCUGUCGAGGAUCCCUGGAAUUCUUCAGGGGUAAAGGGUUUUGAGCUUGGAAUUAUUCAGGGGUAAAGUGUUUUGAACUUGGAAUGCUUCAGUGGUAAAGUGUUUUGAGUUUGGAAUUCUUCUGGCCUGGGUAAAUGGUUUUGAGCUUGGAAUUCUUCAGGGGUAAAGGAUUUUGAGCUUGGAAUUCUUCAGGGUAAAGAGGUUCAGUGAGAUUGAAAUCUUUCAGAGCUUGGAAUUCUUAUUUCUUCAGGGGUGAAGGGUUUUGAGCUUGGAAUUCUUCAGGGGUAAAAGGUUUUGAGCUUGAAAUUCUUCAGGGGUAAAGGGUUUUGAGCUUGGAAUUAUUUAGGGGUGAAGGGUUUUGAGCUUGGAAAUCUUCAGGGGUAAAAGGUUUUGAGCUUGGAAUUCUUCAGGGGUAAAGGGUUUUGAGCUUGGAAUUUUGGAAUUCUUCAGGGGUAAAAGGUUUUGAGCUUGGAAUUUUGGAAUUCUUCAGGGGUAAACAGUUUUGAGCUUGGGAUUCUUCAGGGGUAUGACAAUGAAAAACAUGUAUCCUCGACAGGGGGGGGGGUACGGAUAUUAAAUGGAAUAGCCCAUUUUGAACAUACCAUAGAUGACUUUUUUUAUUUAUAUAUAUAUAUAUAUAUAUAUACAAACAUUUAAGGA
rnacentral:lncRNA from 1 species